CGUGGAGGAACCCAUCGCCCGCUCCCGCACUCUCCUCCCCCUGCUGCCCACUCUUCUCUUCGCCGCCCCCUCCCGUGAAAACCCUAGCCGCCGCCGCCGCCGCCGCCCGCCGCCGUCGCGGAUGUCUCUCCCACCCCCCUCGUCAUCCCCACCGACAUGUCGGAGUUCGUGGCCGGCCGUCGCACGACGUCAGGCUGUGGCGCGGUUGGUCGAGGCGGAGAUGCCAUCGCGCGGGGUCGUCGUCGAGCGGGCCGUGAGGAGAGGGAGUAGAGGGAGGGAAGAGUGGGAGGCGCGAGGAUGGAGUUGGGACUCGCCAGCCAUGCGGUGCUAGCGGUGGAGGACUCCAGAUCCCUUGUCUCCCCGGGUGCCUUGCUCGUCAUCGACCUCCCCGGGUGCUUCUCUCCCCAAAUGGUGCCUACAUGCCCAAGCGUCGGCGAAGAAGAUGAGAGGGAGAGAGAGAAGGAAGGAGAGGAGGGAGAAAGAGAGGAAAGAGGAGAGGGAGGUGCUCCGGAAAGAGGAGAGGGAGGUGCUCCGGUCCCUCGAGGCGCCGCCCCCAGGAGCUCUCAACGCCUCCCGAGGACCUCCUUUCCUUCAGUGCCCCGAGUAAUGCUUGAUCUCAUAUGUCCAUGCAGAUGCUGAGCAGAGGGCCAAACCUCAAGGUGAGAUUCUUCAACCUAAAAAUGUGGCUUCUAUUUCCAUGAAAGCAUUCACAUCUGAAUUCUUUUUUUUGACCCCCCCCCCCCCCCACCUUACUUGACUUGAUUCAAUUUUGAUUCUGCAGUGUGGAUAUGGUUGCCAUUUAUCAGCGAUGAUAAUGUAUUUGUUUCCAGGGAUGCAGCAACAAGCACAAAUAACUUUGCUCGCAUGCUUUCAUCUUUUUGUUAUUCUCUGUACAUUUGUUCCAGAAAAAAAAAUCCCUCUAUACACGGCUUAAGGUGGAGGCUCACACGCUCAGUGCAGGUUGUCAAAGCCCUCUUUUAUUGUUGUGCUAUUGGUCAGCUUGCAGGGUGCAGCAGCCUGGAGAGAUGGUCGAUGGCACACCUGUGAAGCAGCACCUAUGAAGCAACAAUAAACACGUCUGAUGCCAACAUGCCAAGAUGAGCUUCUCGCCCAAUCCCUCUUUCUGUAUAUAUGCAAGCUUGUGUGAUGUUCUCUUUCUGUAUAUAUGCAAGCUUGUGUGAUGUGCUCUGCUUCCCCUUACUUUUCCAGUUAAUGGAUCUCUCACUGAACAGAGCAUGUUCUUUAGGUUGACGGCAUAAAUAAUAUAGCUAAAUUAUCUUCAUCAUAAUAAUAUAAUUGUUGGCACUGUCAAUGAUCCAUUAGACAACCCUAUGGAAUAUUUCUAUAUUUUUGUGCACCAAGGGAUUUUCAGGGAUUUCAAGGAAUAUAAUGAUUUGUUGUUGUUUUCUUAGUUAGCGGCUUUAGUUCUUGAUUAUCUUUUUCCGAACCCUGUUAAGAUGGAAAUAUACGUUGAUGCUGCCACUGGCUCAUACCGUUGCUUCCUAAGUCAUCCAAGGUGAUAACUGAAUUCUUCUAUACCACAUAGCAGAUUCAGGAGUCCUCCUCUCCCCCUCUCACUCAUCUCUUUUGAUUUAGCCUCCUCAAAUCCUUCUCUUGCUAUGUGAAAUUCUCUUUUAUCCAUGCCUACAUGGCGUUUGACAGAACUCCUAUCAGGAUUUUGAUAGUAGAAUGUGGUAUCGGGCUGGUGUUGCGGUUCAUCCAGCUUCAAGGGAAAAUAUCGUGCAUAAAUGUGUACUAUUCAUUAUUCAGGUCAAAUGAGUGAUACUAUCAUUUUUGUAUCGGCUUCCAGCGAGGAUGAUUUUUAUGUGCACGGUCACGAUGUCGACUCAUGUCUAAUCCUGAAGGUGAAUCUAUUUGUUUGCAAUUUAGAUGUUAUAUCAGUAUGCAAGUGAAUUUGUGGCUAAUACCAGAAUUGGUAUUUUUUUCAUGUUUGUCUUCCUUUCAACCUGAUGCAUGUGCAUAAUGCUCGUUGAUGACUAUUCCUUGUUUUUUUUAUCACAUGUACGCCAUGGUUAUCCGGAAUUAUUUUAUUGCUAUUGCUAAUGUCAUGUUACGGUCUUUCAAUGGAUGUUGGGGCUAUCUACUACACCCACCGUAGAGGAGGCAUCGGCCUAGAUACUGAUUGAGUUUUAUCCAUCUGUUAACCACCUACCUGAAAAUGGUAUGAAAAGAUCUAUGGCUAAUUGUUCAGACACUGGAGUAGAAAAGGCUUUAAUUUGGUCUCAAUUUUAUUCUAUUAUGCUUAGAUAUCAAGUUUAUAGCAUGUGAAUUCUAAACAGCAGCAACUAAAUGAUGUGCUCAAUCACUGCCUAUCUACUCCUUAACUACAUAUGUUCUAAUUUUGUGAAUGCUUGAAAAAUGAUGAAAUCCUAUUUUACCGAGAAACAGAGCAAAAAUGUAUAUAUAGUGCAUACAAAAUUUAGUUAAGAUUGUAUUCAGACGAUAUGGUACAUAUAUAGAGCAUACAAAAUUUAGUUAAGAUAUAUUGUAAGAGAUAUUAUUCAUGAGCUGUUUUCUUACUUCGAGUAAGCUUGAAACUGAUGGUCUCAGUUGGUUUGUGUAUUAACUUUGUUCAGAACCUGAAUAUAUAAAAACUGAGUAGAGGGUCGCCUUUUGUGCAGGAAUUUGCAGCAUGUCUGACCCAUUUUUGCAGCAGUGUUAAGCCAUUGAUGCGUGCUUUAAUUGUCAACUUCAUUUUUGGAAGUGCAUACUCCAUUGAGGAAUGUAGCAUUUACAAUGAUAUAAAUUGGAAAGCAAAUUCCAUGAUUCUGUUAAGUGUCAACUUAUCAGCAUUUCCAUCUCAUUUUUAAGCUCCAUUGUUCUUGUGGAAAGGAUACACACUUCUCCCCGCAUCAUGUAUCAUGUUUGUCAAGGUUAUAUUGUUCCAGUUUGCUUUGUUUGCACAUAUGGAGGUACUCAACACAGUACACAACUCUGUAGCAUGCAGAUGCUUUCUUAUUUGGCCUCCUUGGUUAGUGCUUGAUGAUUCAUUUGACAGCAGACCCCACCCACCAGGAAGCAACCACAAGCGGCUCGGCUACUCCGGCAUCAUGGGCACCACUUUCCCCCGAAGACCACAUGCCCGGCGACGAAUCUGGCAAGCAUGGGUGCGCACCUCCAGCAACUAGGUAAGUGAUUCUACCUUUCAAUUGCAUUCUUAUUUUUAUUUUCUCUGUAUAUAUACACAGUUUUCAAAUUCUAUUUGUUUGCCACUGAAGCUUAUGUUUUCCUGUUCCAGAAUUGAGUGCGUAGGAAACUUAUGGCUUAUGGCUCUCCUUGAUGACCAUCACCUCAUAACCACAACCAUCUACAUGAUACCUACCGGCUAUAUACUAUGCUCAUUGUAAAUAAUCUAUUAUCAAUUUACAACAGUAUAUAGCAACACUGUAUUUCUACUUAUGCUCAUUGUAAACUUCUUAGAACGCUGUGUAUCAACACUGAGUUCUCUUAUAACACUAUGUCAGCACUAAAAUUAUAUUUACUUAUGGUAUGCAGUUAUCAAGUAAUGCCAUUAUUUCCUUUUAAUGAAUCAUGAUGCCAUGUAGUCAGAUAAAAAUAUAUAUAGAUAAAAAUAUAUAUCUAUUAGACUGUCACAUACACAUGCUUACAAUGCUUGGCUUGCCAAUGUUUUUUGCGCCAUGGGCGCAACGGGUCAUCUAGUAUAUGAAACGUUCUUCUAUCUAGACAAAGUUGAUUUAUACACACAACGCCACUCUCACCAAUUAGUUGAUACAAGUGGCAUUCUCUUAGCUCUCUAGUUUAACUCUCAUUUCUAUUUGCAAAUAUUUUCUCACAUAAGGUAAUGCAAACACACCCAUGCAUAAUAGUAUGCAAUCAUAAUGGUAUUCGUGAGAUUAAAAAUGCUACGUUUGUCCUUCCACGUCUCGUGGAAGACGCCAUAACUAAAAAGUACAAUACACGAUAUAAGCAUAAGGAAAUGGCACCUAAUUAAGUUUAUAUUAUUUUCUUUCCAAACAUGGACCAAACAUGUAAUGAUACAUACUAGUUCAGACUGCAAAUGAACAAUUAAGCUUAACACGCAAGAUAAUAAC
rnacentral:lncRNA from 1 species